UACGUAGGGGGCUAGCGUUGUCCGGAAUCAUUGGGCGUAAAGCGCACGUAGGCGGCUUGGCAAGUCGGAUGUGAAAUCCCUCGGCUCAACCAAGGAAGUGCAUCCGAAACUGCUGAGCUUGAGUACUUAAGAGGAUCGCGGAAUUCCCGGUGUAGAGGUGAAAUUCGUAGAUAUCGGGAGGAACACCAGUGGCGAAGGCGGCGAUCUGGGAAGAUACUGACGCUGAGGUGCGAAAGCGUGGGGAGCAAACAGG
rnacentral:rRNA from 1 species